AGAAGAAGAAGAAGAAGAAAAAGAAGAAGAAGAAGAAAUAGAGGCUAUUGCCGACGUGGACGAAGUCCGCGAAGUCAAUGAAAUGAGAGUAAGAAAUCUGUAAGUUUUUCGAGAGAGACGUGAUCCGUUUGAAUUGUUUAGUGAUCGUGAAUUUCGAAACAGAUAUAGCUUAUCGAAAGACAGUGUACGAUUUGUGAUCAGUUUAGUGGAAGAUAGGUUAGUGUCUCAUGCCCGUCACCACAACCACAUAUCCCCAGCAAUGCAGGUACUUGUAACCCUGCGGUUUUAUGCUAAAGGAUGCUACCAGACAGAAUUAGGAGAUCUGCAUGGCAUUUCCCAGCCUAGCGUAUCCAGAAUAGUUGCAAAAGUAUUUGAUGCUAUUGCUGCGCUGCUUCCACGAUUUAUUGUGUAUCCAGCUGGAAUGAAAGCUCUUAAAAUGGAGUUUUACAACAUAGAUCACUUUCAUGGGGUUGUGGGCUGUAUUCAUUGCACCCACAUUGCAAUAAAAAACCCCAGUCGGGAGUGAGCUAUGUUGUAUGUUAACCGUAUGGGUUAUUAUUCUAUCAACGUGCAAGUAGUGUGUGAUACUCAGAGACGAAUUCUGAAUAUUGUUGCUAAAUGGCGAGGCAGUGUUCAUGAUGCACGUAUAUGGGACUCGUGCUCUCUGAAGGAAGAGUUUGGGAUAAGCAUUUUUUCAUUUAUUAAAAGCCUCGAGGAUAAAGGGAAUCUUGCUUGGGGAUACUGGAUACCCAUGCAAGCCAUACUUUCUGACACCAAUUCAAUUUCCUCAAACUCAACCUGAACAGAGGUAUAACAGGUCCCAUAAAUCUACGCGGAUAACUGUAGAGCACUGCUUUGGGGAAUGGAAGGGCAUGUUUAGAGCCCUUCGCAAUGUCAUGCAGAUAUUCCUUCCGACAGCGAAAACAGCCAUCAUUGCCAUGGCUGUUUUGUUUAACAUCAGGAAGGAACACCAUGACAAUGAUGGCUAUGAUUCUGAUUUGGAUGAGGAAGAGGCCUGCGAAUCUUCUUUGCAAGGUAUAGAAAAGCAGCCUCUCCCUGAUUCUGUCCUGGUAGCAGGGAAUAUGUUCCGCAGGGACUUCGCGCGAAGAAAUUUUGCGUGACGGAGUUCCUGCAUUGCUGGGGAUGCUGAGGUUCUAACCUAUCUGCCCUAUCUGAUCAUCUGUACACUGCCUUUCGAUAAAGAUAUCUGCUAGAAGUUCUACGAAAACCUUGUAGAUUUCUUACUCUCAUUUUAAUAAAUGAAACUUUAUUUUUUCUAUUGUAA